UGAAUUUUAAGUUAAAAAAAACUAGAAAUCUUCCACAUUUCCAAUAAGAAAAUCUUAAAUUCAA
rnacentral:tRNA from 1 species